rnacentral:lncRNA from 1 species
UCUGACUCUUUCUUUUACCAGUAAUUAUUUUCGCUGGAUGAACUUAGGUUCACAUGGUGAAGAUUGGUGACUAUGAAGAAAGUCCUAGUGAAGAUUAAUAUGGAUGCAGAUAUCUUCUCCUCAAGGAAGUCCAUCUAAGCAUUCUGAGAACUUCUGCUAGAUGUGUGGACACUGCAUGGAAGGAGGCCCCAUAAUUUCCUGCUAUAAAAUUGAUUAAAAGGUUCAGAGAAUAUAAGAUGAGACUAUGUUUAGUAUUUGUUAAUUAAAAAAGCAAUUUGGUAUGUGUAAUUUCCGGACUAGCUCUCUGUAGGAUCUCAGUACCAGCCCAAGUUCUUGACUGUAGCAAUGCGGGGAUUCAAGACAAUUCCACUAGAUUUGGGAUGGAAAAUGCCAUCUGCUUCCAAAGGAAGAACCAUGGAGACUGAAUGUGGAUUGGAACUUAGUAUUUUCAUCUUUUGUCUGCUUGUUUGCUUUUCUUUCAUAUGGUUUUUUCCUCUUUUGGUUUGAUUUUUUUC